UACGUAGGGAGCAAGCGUUGUCCGGAAUCAUUGGGCGUAAAGCGCGCGUAGGUGGCUUCAUAAGUCCGUUGUGAAAGUCAAAGGCUCAACCUUUGAAAGCCGAUGGAUACUGUGGAGCUAGAGUACGGAAGAGGCGAGUGGAAUUCCUGGUGUAGCGGUGGAAUGCGCAGAUAUCAGGAGGAACACCAAUAGCGAAGGCAGCUCGCUGGGACGUUACUGACGCUGAGACGCGAAAGCGUGGGGAGCGAACAGG
rnacentral:rRNA from 1 species